GCAAAUCACCAGAGCAAGUAACAACAUUAAUAAGUCUCUAAACAAAAUUAAGGACAUUGCUCGAUAUUAAUGAGGUCACCUCUGUGACUGCCUACAAUGGACGGCAUUUUACGGCUGCAUCUAAUGAAGAUACUGUGGACUGGUUGGCGAGAUCUUGGGGCCAUAUGACGACUUAUUUGAACGACUUCAUUGAAUGCCUAUUUCUGUGACGUUCUUGUCGGCCAUUGGGAAUGAAUUUUUCGUGGAAACGUUUAAUCCCUUUCGCGGAUGAGAACGUCACCGUAAUUCGCGUUCAAUGAAGUCGCUCCGGUAAGACGUCAUACGGCCCCCUGGAACAUAUGUUUCGCGCCACCCAAUCCAUCGUACUCUCAUUGGCUGCUGCCAUGAAGAGCCGCCCAUUGUACUCAGUGACCGGGGUGACCUCAUUAAACUCUGGACAGCGAACGUUUCUGAAUCCCCGAAAAAUCCCAAAGAAGUCUAGCAGAUUGCAAGUUUUUGGUACACUCCGAGGAAGAAACUACCACAACAAAGGGCCUGUUCUCUGGGAGUUCAUGUAAGGGAGCGGCUGUCCAUUCCAUUUCAUACUCUGACGGGGCGUAGCCUCGCAUACCGCAUGCCUCCACCACAGACGAGAUGGUCUGCAAGCUCCAGUUACUGGAUUCAAGGUCCUGUCUGAACUUUGAUUCCAAGAAAACCCACUGCUUGAUGCUGCUUCCAAAGGAGGGCUCAAUGCUUGAGCUGAGUUCGGCGCACUUUCAAAACCAACUGAGACCAACUUGGCCGCACAACUUCCAAUGGAACGGAACUGGUCCAACACGAUGUCGCAACCCGAAGAGAUCGUGUUUUAAUCUUAAUUCUAUUGCAGUUUAAGAAAAAGAAUUAAAAGCUUAUUAAAAAAAUAUUUUAAAAAAA